rnacentral:lncRNA from 1 species
GAAGAUUAAUUCAACGAUAUGUAUACAACAAAUCCACAGAAGAUACAAACACAAAAAACAUAUGACAUGACAUUAUACGCACAAAAUGGAUUAAUUUCUUCUCUUAUUAAAACACAGUCUCGAUUUCACUACAAUUUAUCGGUAUUGCUUAAAGUAUUCAUACAAGAUAAAAGAAAUAAUUGUUUAGCAAAAUCAGUGGCAUCCCCCCUCAGGGCAGGGGUAGUGAUAGUCUUCAAGAAUUUUCUUAAACCUCUCGAUCAAACACUCUUCACUUGUGAGUCCUGAGCAAUCAACAAUUUCAGGUGAUGCUGCGGGAUUAGUAGAAAAUAAAGCAUCUGAGUCAGAUCCUUGGCCAGUACUACUGGCUGAAAUAAGCAUGUUUUUAGUGUUUGCCACUACAAGCAAAGCCAAAAUGAUGAAAGUAAGACUCUUAGACAUUUUUUGAUUUCUUAAGAGAAUUGAAAGAGAUAUGUAAGAAUUAGAAAGGCGUGAGCCUCUAUUGAUCCGAAUGAAUAUUGAAAAACGAGUUGCA